rnacentral:rRNA from 1 species
UGGCGGCGUGCCUAACACAUGCAAGUCAAAGUCUGAGUCGACUUCGGUUACAAGGACUUGGCGCAAGGGUGAGUAAGGCAUAGGUAAUCUGGCCUUUUGGUCUGGGAGUAACCCCGAGAAAUCGGGAACAAUACCAGAUGAUGCAGCGGAACCGCAUGGUUAUGUUGUUAAAGAUUUAUCGCCAAAAGAUGAGCCUAUGUUCCAUCAGGUAGUUGGUAGGGUAACGGCCUACCAAGCCUACGACGGAUAGCUGGUCUGAGAGGAUGAUCAGCCACAUUGGAACUGAGACACGGUCCAGACUCCUACGGGAGGCAGCAGUGAGGAAUAUUGCGCAAUGGGCGAAAGCCUGACGCAGCAACGCCGCGUGGAUGAUGAAGUUCUUCGGAAUGUAAAAUCCUUUUGCAGGGGACGAAUAGGUCGGCUUGCCGGCUGUGACGGUACCCUGCGAAUAAGCCACGGCUAACUCUGUGCCAGCAGCAGC